rnacentral:rRNA from 1 species
AUUCAGUCUGGGGCGUCGGUCGUGCAGAUCGGAAACCGAGUAGGGCUUCCCCGAGCGGGGGCCGUCCGGUCGCACGCAGCGCCUAUGCACCCGACGCAUUUGUCUCUCGUCCGAAGGACGCCGCAUCCGGCUGGGUAGUGCAAGCGCGACGACCUGAGGGGCGGAUGAUGGCAGGUGGCCGCUGGCGUGUCUCGUGCGCGUCGGCGGUUGUUAGCCGUUCCGUCAGUGGUCCGUCACCCGGCCGAGGUGUCGCGAGGCCCUCACGGGCCUCAAUGCCUCCUCCUUGGAGAUGCGGGUCAGAGUGUCGCAGGUGGAAGCCGUCGUCCCGUUCGCACCCCUCCGGGGUGGUCGGGCGAACGGAGGCCGCCGUUGGUGAUGCCGGACCCGUUGGAGGUUGGGGGCUAGCGGCGAGUAGGUCGGUCACCCACCCGACCCGGUCUUGAAACACGGACCAAGGAGUCUAACAUGUGCGCGAGUCAAUGGGUCUUGAACAGGCCCAUGGGCGCAAUGAAAGCGAAGGGCGGCCUAAGCGCCGUCCGAGUUGGGAUCCCCCUCUCGGGGGGGCGCACCAACGACCCGUCCUAUUCGGCUCGCCGAUUGGGCGGAGUUUGAGCGUACACGUUGGGACCCGAAAGAUGGUGAACUAUGCCCGGACAGGACGAGGCCAGAGGAAACUCUGGUGGAGGUCCGCAGCGGUUCUGACGUGCAAAU